rnacentral:rRNA from 1 species
CUGGCGGUAUGCUUACACAUGCAAGUCGAACGAAAGUUUUAACUUUAGUGGCGAACGGGUGCGUAAUACGUGAGAAUCUGCCCUUAGGAGAAGAAUAACUGCUGGAAACGGCUGCUAAAUCUUCAUAUGUCGAGAGAUGAAAUAGUUUAGGCUGCCUAAGGAUGAGCUCGCGCCUGAUUAGCUAGUUGGUGAGGUAAUGGCUCACCAAGGCCACGAUCAGUAGCUGGUUUGAGAGAACGAUCAGCCACACUGGGACUGAGACACGGCCCAGACUCCUCCGGGAGGCAGCAGUGAGGAAUUUUCCGCAAUGGGCGAAAGCCUGACGGAGCAAUACCGCGUGAGGGAUGAAGGAUUUUGGUCUGUAAACCUCUUUUCCUCAAGAAAGAAGUUCUGACGGUACUUGAGGAAUAAGCAUCGGCUAACUCCGUGCCAGCAGCCGCGGUAAUACGGGGGAUGCAAGCGUUAUCCGGAAUCAUUGGGCGUAAAGCGCCUG